UACGUAGGGUGCGAGCGUUUGUCCGGAAUUAUUGGGCGUAAAGAGCUUGUAGGCGGUUUGUCGCGUCGGAUGUGAAAGCCCGGGGCUUAACUCCGGGUCUGCAUUCGAUACGGGCAGGCUAGAGUUCGGUAGGGGAGAUCGGAAUUCCUGGUGUAGCGGUGGAAAUGACGCAGAUAUCAGGAGGAACACCGGUGGCGAAGGCGGAUCUCUGGGCCGAUACUGACGCUGAGGAGCGAAAGCGUGGGGAGCGAACAGG
rnacentral:rRNA from 1 species